ACCAACAGGAGAAGUACAUAAACGGCAGACCGUUCGCGGUGUCGCGUCGUAAACAACGACCCCGUAGAUUCUCUGAUCUUAUAUUAAGAAAAUUUUGGUGUUAUCAAACUCCUUCAUUGAUAUUUCAAUAGUGAAUUAGUUCGGGAGUUGGGGAAUCGAUGUAUUUCGUUUAAAUAACAAGGUAAUAUCCAUGAUUUCUUAAAAAUUUUUAAUCGUUUGUGCGUGUCAGUGCGCGGGUUGGCAAGCGUUGGCGUUGGAGGAGUGCAGUUGCUCUGCUGCCAUUUUCCUCGUGUGUGACUCCUAAAGUUAGAGAGAGAAAGAGAGAGAGAGAGAGAGAGAGCGAGAGCGAGAAAGAGGGUUAGAGAGAGAGAGAGAGAGAGAGAGAGAGAGAAACGGGGGGAGAGAGAGAGAUAGAAAGAAGGAAAGAAAGAAAGAGGGAGAAAGAAGGAGAGAGAGAGAGAGAGAGAGGUAGUCAGUUAGAUGGAUAGAGAUAAAAGUAGAGUAGUAAACGAAUAAGAGAGAGAGAGACAAAUAGACAAGAAUUAGAAAAAAAGAAAAAGAAGGAAAAGCAAAAAAGUAGAGUUAAAAGUUUGAUUAAAAGAAAAAAGAAUAGAACUUAGUCGUAUAGAAAAGAUAGAUAGAUAGAAGGAGAGAGAGAGAGAGAGAGAGAGAGAGAGAGAGAGAGAGAGGGAGUGAGGGUUAGCAAACGUAAGUGUGUAGAGGGUGCUUCGGGGGGUGGGGGGUGGGGUAUUACAGGCAGUGACGAAACGAUCGGUGUAAAAUAUUAGACGAAUUAAAGGGGCCGGAAGAUCUAAGUCCUUUAAUGGAUUAGAAAGAUACGCGAUAUAACGGAAGAUAGAGAUAGAGAUAGAGAGCGAGAGAGAGAGAGAGAGAGAGAGAGAGAGAGAGAGAGAGAGAGAGAGAGAUAGAAGAAGUCGAGUUUCCUGGUGCAGCGGCCGAAGCGAGUGAGAAAGACGUGUAGAAGCCAACGCGAGUGAGAAAGACGGAGACGCGCGUUGCGCGCCUUCGAAACUGGACCGACGAUCAAGAGUACAUAUAUAGACUGACUAUGAUGACACCUGCCUACCUGCUGUAGCGAACUCAUAUCUGCUUCACUUACUUCAACCAUCGAGGGACUGGUUUGAGAACAGCCACGUUAGCAAGGCACGUUUCCAUAAACCCCUACGUAACAACGGACAUUGUGUACACGAGUCAGCUGUUCAGCUACGGUGGGGGAUCAUGCCACCAGUCUGCCUCCUGGCUUCGGAGGCAAUUCGCUCGUAAUAACGGAAGCAACUACAGCCUGCCGUUGGUGGUUAAUCGAAUGUCCCCCCUCCCAGAAACGUACAUUGCCGUCUCGUUUACACGUAUGUUAUAAUCUUGUACUACUCUGGUACUCGCUGAUAUAUAAACGGAAAUAUAUAUAUACACGCACACAUGUAUAUAUAUAUAUAUAUAUAGAGAGAGAGAGAGAGAGAGAGAGAGAGACGAAAAUGAGUUUGCUUUUAAAAAUCAUCACCGCAUUAUCAUCAUCAUUAUCAUCAUUAUUAUUAUUAUCAUUAUCGUUGUCGUCGUCGUCAUCAUCAUCCUGCUCUUUUUUGCAAUGCGAUGAUUGAUCCUUUUGAUUCCUUU